rnacentral:misc_RNA from 1 species
GAUUGGUCGAAAGACCUUAUCAGAUUCUACCACCUCUGUGAACCGUUGACCUCCGGGUUAAUAAUCAAACAUCAGUGUAACGAACGUAAGAGUAUCUUAAUUAAACAAAACUUUUAACAACGGAUCUCUUGGCUCUCGCAUCGAUGAAGAACGCAGCGAAAUGCGAUAAGUAAUGUGAAUUGCAGAAUUCAGUGAAUCAUCGAAUCUUUGAACGCACCUUGCGCCUUUUGGUAUUCCGAAAGGCAUGCCUGUUUCAGUGUCAUGAAAUCUCAAUCUAAUAUGUUUUCUGAACAUGUUAGGCUUGGACUUGGGUGUCUGCCAGUGAUGGCUCACCUCAAAUGACUUAGUGGAACAUCCCACAUCAGUGUUAGACGUAAUAAGUUUCGUCUCUCCUUGUGGUGAUGACUGCUCAGAACCUGCCAUCGCGCAUCUUUU